CUAUCCAACUUCUCCAGUUCAAACCAUUGUUUCUGCUUUAGAUUUCAUUAAUGGCCUAUGUGGUCCCACUCUUGUGCCUUUUGGAUUCAUGCUCCAUGAAACUUCACACCCAUUAAACUUUCUUUGUCUUUUUGGCCAAAUGUGUUGUCAUCUUUAUCUCUAUGUACAGUAUUCCAAGACCACAAGGUGGUUUUGUGGUUGCAGCCUUCCUUAUGUCUACAGAAAACAGCUUUCACCUUAUCAUUUGCCAGCACCCCAUCUUAGAGCCUAAAACAAGAUAUAACUGCCUUGAUAUCAGCAGACUUUAGUUGAAAUAUUUAGAAAAAAAAAACAAUGCCUUUUGUUCUACUUAUCAUUUUGUUUUCUAAGAAAUCUCUGGCUUAGUGGAUAGAGGAUCAUAUUUCACCGACUCUAUCUGGAGGUAUUAAAGGGACACUCCACUGCCCAAAUAAAAUUACUGUUUGGUAGAUAUACACCAAAUGACAGUGUGACUUUUUCCACUGGGGAUAUACCUAAAAACAGCUUGCAAAACCUGCAGUUCUCUUGUCUGCAGCCUUUGCCAGCCCUCCAUUUUUCCCUGGCCCAGACUUUCUGUGGCUGCCCAAUCACAGAUUUCCCAAUGCAGCUCAAUGAGAAGUCUUUACAAUGCAGGUGUUGUGAGCAAUUGCCUGCUAACUGAGUUUAGCUACACUGAGCUAACCAAAC